UGGUGAUGGCUCAGUGACGCCUGGCACGGGAUCAGAAAGAGAAACAGCAGCCUUAGUGCUCUCUGGUAUAGAGUUAACUGCCCCGGGCCCCACUUUCUUCAUCUUGAGAACAAUGCCAACCAGAGAUGCAAAUGUGAAGAGGAUUCCAGGUUACAGAGGAAACUCACAAAAAAGAGAUCCAUGAUGAAUGUGAUUAAUCAAUUAACUAAUAAAUGGGAACUGGGAUCGAAAGCCCCUGCCUCCCACUAUUCGGCUGCUUGGAGAAGCCAGCCACCCUGAGUCCCCUGCAAGCAUUGGAAACUGUGAAAUGAAAUAUUGUCUUCAUGCAGAGAUGGAACAGAGACCAAGGCGGACUAAGGAGCAGCAGAGAAAGCGGGAGUGUGAAUAUUGGAGAUAGGAGAUAAUAAGUACUUAUUGCUUUAAUAUAGUUGUAUAUAGCAUAUAUCACCUAAACAUGAAGAGAAAAAGCCAUAUACACACAUUCAUGCAAUUUUAGACCUUUGAGUACUAGUGAUAUUUCAGUUUUUACAAAAAUAUUUUAAUGGAAUACUGGAGAGACAGCUCAGUGCUUAAGAGCACCGGCAGUUUCUCCAAAGGACCCAGGUUCAAACCCCAGCACCCAUGCGGCAGUUCACAUCUGUCUGUAAUUCCAGUUCCAGGGGAUCUGACAUGCUCACGUAGACAUACUUGGAGGCAGAACACCAACGUAAAUAAAAUACAAAAAUGAUUAAAAAAUGUUUAAAAAAAAAAAGCAGAGUGCGGUGGCAUAUGCCUGUAGUCUCAGCACUAGGGUAGGCAAAGGCAGGCAGAUCUCUGUGAAUUUGAGGCCAGCCUGGUCUACAAAGUGAGUCCAGGACAGCCAAGGCUACACAGAGAAACCCUGUCUUGAAAACAAAACAAUAC